rnacentral:rRNA from 1 species
GACGAACGCUGGCGGCGUGCUUAACACAUGCAAGUCGAACGAAGUGGCGAACGGGUGAGUAACGCGUAAUCAACCUGCCCUUCAGAGGGGGACAACAGUUGGAAACGACUGCUAAUACCGCAUACUGAAGGAGGGGAUUGCGUCUGAUUGGGUAGUUGGAGGGGUAACGGCCCACCAAGGCGAUGAUCAGUAGCCGGGCUGGGAGGGUUAAACGCCAACUUGGGAAUGGGAAAACGCCCAGACUCCUACGGGAGGGAGCAAGGGGGAAUCAUCCGGAAUGGACGGAAGUCUGACGGAGCAACGCCGCGGGAGAUAUGACGGGCUUCGGGUUGUAAAGCUCUGUUAAUCGGGACGCGGUACCGGAAUAGAAAGCAACGGCUAACUACGUGCCAGCAGCCGCGGUAAUUC